UACGGAGGGUGCAAGCGUUAAUCGGAAUUACUGGGCGUAAAGCGCACGCAGGCGGCAGGGUAAGUUAGAUGUGAAAGCCCCGGGCUCAACCUGGGAAUUGCAUUUAAAACUGCCGUGCUAGAGUCUUGUAGAGGGGGGUAGAAUUCCAGGUGUAGCGGUGAAAUGCGUAGAGAUCUGGAGGAAUACCGGUGGCGAAGGCGACCCCCUGGACAAAGACUGACGCUCAUGUGCGAAGGCGUGGGGAGCAAACAGG
rnacentral:rRNA from 1 species